GUGCUCGCUUCGGCGGCACGUUUACUAACAUCCGAACGAUGUAGAGAAGAUUAGCGCGGCCCCUGUGCAAGGACGACACGCAGAUUCAUGAAGCGUUCCGAGGGUCG